AUGAUACAAAGAAUACAGAUGAUAUAAUCAUGCGCAGGACGGUGAAGUGGGCGUGUUUAUAUGGUGUGACGUUGUGACGUCUAGGAUGUAUUUUAGAUUAAGAAAACUGAAUAAAAACUUGCGAGAUCAGACAGUCAGCAAAAAA
rnacentral:lncRNA from 1 species